CCUACGGGAGGCAGCAGUAAGGGAUAUUGGGCAAUGGGGGAAACCCUGAUGCAGCAACGCCGCGUGAGUGAAGAAGUAUCUCGGUAUGUACAGCUCUAUCAGCAGGGAAGAAAAUGACGGUACCUGACUAAGAAGCCCCGUCCAACUACGUGCCAGCAGCCGCGGUAAUAAGUAGGGGGCAAGCGUUCUCCGGAUUUACGGGGUGUACAGGUAGCGUAGACGGUGUGGCAAGUCUGAAGUGAAAGCCCGGGGCUCAACCCCGGGACUGCUUUGGAAACUGUCAUUCUGGAGUGCUGGAGAGGUAAGCGGAAUUCCUAGUGUAGCGGUGAAAUGCGUAGAUAUUAGGAGGAACACCAGUGGCGAAGGCGGCUUACUGGACAGUAACUGACGUUGAGGCUCGAAAGCGUGGGGAGCAAACAGGAUUAGAUACCCCGGUAGUC
rnacentral:rRNA from 1 species